CAGUCGCCACGGGAAUACGAAGGGGGCUAGCGUUGCUCGGAAUCACUGGGCGUAAAGGGUGCGUAGGCGGGUCUUUAAGUCAGGGGUGAAAUCCUGGAGCUCAACUCCAGAACUGCCUUUGAUACUGAAGAUCUUGAGUUCGGGAGAGGUGAGUGGAACUGCGAGUGUAGAGGUGAAAUUCGUAGAUAUUCGCAAGAACACCAGUGGCGAAGGCGGCUCACUGGCCCGAUACUGACGCUGAGGCACGAAAGCGUGGGGAGCAAACAGGAUUAGAUACCCGUGUAGUCCCUGUCUCUUAUAU
rnacentral:rRNA from 1 species